AUCUCAGUAUGCCCUCGCCUGUCCUGGAACAAGUUUUACUCUCACAAUUGCAGCUGUGACAAGGGAUGCAACGACUUGGAAAUGUGAUCACGCUUUUGGUGGAAUGGAAAGUAAUGCUAUUGAUCUUCUUCUUCAAGAACCACAACCACCUGUUAAGGAUCGAUUCUCAGAUGGAAUUGGAACUGGGGUUGGAAUUUGCGUUCCUGUAUUUAUUGUGUUUGUGGUAGUGUUAGCAGUUCUACGAAAACAACAGUGGUUCAAAGGUGAUGCAGGCACAGGGGAAAUCAACACACUGCUGAUGUAUGUAUGAGUAUGCUUGCCAGAAAGAGUUGAUUCAAAGUCAAAACCAAAUAUGUGACAUUCUUUUAGUAUUAGUUUAUAUUUUGUAAUCCAAUAAUACAUAGUAUUUAUUUUACAUUUUCUGUAAAAUCGACUUUCAGUAAACGGUAUUGUUUCCUGAUCAAUACAACAGCUUGACUUCUAAUCAGGCAUUUGAAAUUUGCACCAUAAUUAACCAAUUAAUUGGUAAUAUAUCCAAGUUUUUUACGCAUUCCAAAGAUGGCCAUAUGAACAUAGGAUAUGAUUACAAUCAUAUUCACUUUAUAUGCUUUAGGCAUAUCUACGAAACAUUCCUUGCACUGAUGCGUUUUAAAGUUGUAUGAACGUACAUUAGGAGAGAGUAAUGUUCGGUUAAGCGAUGACAUAUUCUUUGGAAUAUAAUUAUUUGUACUCAGCAGAAUGUGCAUUUGAAAAAUAUAUAUAUAACUCUUUCUUCUACCACCUGUGCCAUUCUUUACUUGAAGGAACAAUCAAGCAAUCGAGUUGCCAUUACAAGAGCAAGCAAUUGGUCUAUACGAUGACCUCGGGCACAGAGAGACGGACAUGGCGACAUACACAGAACUGAAAGUGUAUGAAAAUGUCGGGGCCCUGCCUUCAGAAGAUACGGUGAAUGAAGACGGAAAGGCGCACCCGACACCUCAACAUGCGACACCUCGGACAUACAAGGGCUUAUUAAAUACGAAAUAACUUGUAUAUUAAUCCGUGGACGUCGGACUACCCAGACCCAAUUUAUGACAAUGUGUUUAGUAGUUACAAGUUAUAUGGUAGUAUGAGUGUUCUUUCUCGAUGUAUAUUCAAUCUUAGUUGUUAUGAUGCGAUUCGAAUGAAUAAUUACAGAUAUAUAUUAUGACAAAUUGGUAUGCAUUGCUGUUCCUGAGACAAUUUUGAAGCCGAUUAUGCGCACACAAGCACGUUGAUCAAUCACUUAUCAUGAGCACAGCAUUUAUCACGAAACGAGUAUUGUCAUUUCAUUGGUUUUCCCCAUCUAGCUACAAAAUCACUUUUUGCGAUCGUGCAUGUACCAAGGUGUGUUUAGUGUAAAAUAGUACAAUGAAUACAACUCUCAUAUCUGAUCGCACAAUGAUUGAGGAUUUGUCUUUGAAUAAGUAACCAUUUAAUUCCGCAUCCUUUCACCUCCCCAAAACUAGCAUUUAAAACACAAUGUUGUGCCUCCUUUCCAAAUUCAGAAUUAUAUCUACAGGUAAACCAGUACUACGGUAUUAUCUUUCUAACUAUGUAUAUAAAUAGUUUAUGUUCCAUUGUUUAUAUUGUUUUUACACUUAAAAUAGCACAUUGCUUCUGGUUAAUAGAAGAUCUUAUGUGAGCACCUCUCGUACAUCAGAUUAAAUUGCAUUGAAUGUCACACUCAUGUUGUCAAUUUAUGCACACUCACAUUGGUGAAUGUGUACACAAAGUUGAUAUCCCGAUUUGAAGGUUUAGGAUCAUACCAUUGUUUUCAUAGUUCUGUCUCUAGUGGUGUUUGACUGGUGUUUUACCCAUCACUACUAAUUACCUUCUCAAGUUCUAUGAAUUACAUUUGUUGCCAUAUUUAUGAACCAUCCAUUGAAUUAAUACUGAA
rnacentral:lncRNA from 1 species